rnacentral:lncRNA from 1 species
UUUUUUCCAAAUAUUUUUAAUUUAAUUUUAAUAUAAAAAUGUAUAAAGAAAAUAAUGUCAUUAAUCAAAUUACCAAAUAGCUAAAGACUCAAAGUUGUAUAUGUGUGUAUGUGACCCAUCUCCUAUUCUAAAGUCAUAACCUAAAGAAAAUUAAAGGCAUUUCCCUUCGAAUUAGUAUUUGAAAAUAUUAAUCUUAAUUAUUAUUAUAGGCAUUGUGUUGGAUGUGUGCUUAUGGUGGUGAAUGAAAUGAAUAUCUUCUCUUGGAG